UAAUGCUUCAUAGGUCACAAGGUGACUAUCAAAACGCCAUUGAUUAUCAUGAAAAACGUUUGAAAACUGCGAAAGAAAUCGGUGAUCGGGCCGAAGAAGGAGCAGCCUAUGGAAAUCUCGGGAAAGCUUACCAGUCACUGUCUGAUCAUCAAAAAGCCAUUGAGUAUCAU